UACGAAGGGGGCUAGCGUUGCUCGGAAUUAUUGGGCGUAAAGAGCUUGUAGGCGGUUUGUCGCGUCUGCUGUGAAAUUUCGGGGCUCAACCCCGAACUUGCAGUGGGUACGGGCAGACUAGAGUGUGGUAGGGGAGACUGGAAUUCCUGGUGUAGCGGUGAAAUGCGCAGAUAUCAGGAGGAACACCGAUGGCGAAGGCAGGUCUCUGGGCCACUACUGACGCUGAGAAGCGAAAGCAUGGGGAGCGAACAGG
rnacentral:rRNA from 1 species